UUUCAUUCUAUUUUUAAUCCUAGAUGAGAGAAAUGUGGAUCUGAAGGGAGACAUUGAAUUUCUAAAAAAAAAAUUUACAUUUCUGAAAAAAGUUGCUGUGUAAUAUAACUGUCAAGAUUUAAAUCAUCCACAUGAAACUGACUGUAUUCAGAUUCCAGAAAUGUUUCAAUUGAUAAAUACAGAAAAUGAAAAAGGAAAAAAGAAAGUAAUAAUCCAUGGUUACACAAGACAGCUGUACUCUUUUCUCUGGGCUUUUCUAUUGUCAGUUUGAUUAAUGGGAUGUCUUUAAAUGUAUCUCCUUUUGGAUAUCUUAUAUCUCAACAAGUCUAUUUCAUGUUUUUGCCACCAACAUUUCCAGUAGAUUUCUUCUAACAUGUCAGAAUGACAGAUAAGUUUCCAUAGUCAGCCUUAUAGAGAGCUCAUUAUUGUUUCAAACCAGUGCAAUUGCCCUUAAGUUUCCCUAACCAGAGGGCCUUUGGAGGGCCAUGUCAUUUCCAAACUCACGAUGAGUAAAGGUGGCAUUUCUGGGCUUAAAAUAAGGGUAUAAGUCACCAAUUAAAGUCAAGUACUAAUUUUUGCAAGAUAAUCUCCUGAGUUGAUAGAAAAUAAAAAUAUUAAAUAUUUUAAAUGCAUUGUAUGGGCUGCCAAAUUUUUUCAUGUAAGCUAUCCGUAAUUUCUUUUUGUAUUACUUAGCUAGUAAGAGUAGAAUAAUCGAACUUUUUAAAUUUAUUUAGUUCACUUUCUUAGGAGGAAACUUUGAAUAAAGCAGCAUUUCUACAAUAUAUAAUGG
rnacentral:lncRNA from 1 species